CAUGCCACACAUUUUGCAUGCUGUUUCUGAGGGUGGUUAUGCAUUCUUUGAAUAUUUACCUUUCAGUAACAUAUCGACAAAAAUCGCUAUCGAAAUUGAUAAAGAUAUCACA